UUUAAACGCCAUACCACGUUAAAUACACCGGUUCUCGUCCGAUCACGCAAAUUAAGCAACGUCAGGUGCGGUCAGUGCUUGGAUGGGUGACCGCCUGGGAACACCACGUGUUUUAAUUA
rnacentral:rRNA from 1 species